AGGUGGGUUUAUUCGAAGCAACGCGAAGAACCUUACCACGCCUUGACAUCCUCUGGCGGUGGAUAGAUAGGACGUCCCCUUCGGGGGCCGAGUGACGGGUGGUGUUUGGUUGUCGUCAGCUCGUGUCCCGAGAUGUUGGGUUAAGUCCCGCAACGAGCGCAACCCUUGAUCUUAGUUGCCAGCAUUCAGUUGGGCACUCUAAGGUGACUGCCGGUGACAAACCGGAGGAAGGUGGGGAUGACGUCAAAUCAUCAUGCCCCUUAUGACCUGGGCUACACACGUGCUACAAUGGACAGAACAAAGGGCAGCGAAACCGCGAGGUUAAGCCAAUCCCACAAAUCUGUUCUCAGUUCGGAUCGCAGUCUGCAACUCGACUGCGUGAAGCUGGAAUCGCUAGUAAUCGCGGAUCAGCAUGCCGCGGUGAAUACGUUCCCGGGCCUUGUACACACCGCCCGUCACACCACGAGAGUUUGUAACACCCGAAGUCGGUGAGGUAACCUUUUAGGAGCCAGCCGCCGAAGGUGGGACAGAUGAUUGGGGUGAAGUCACAACAAGGUAGCCGUA
rnacentral:rRNA from 1 species